rnacentral:rRNA from 1 species
GGGGUAGAGCACUUGAAGGUCUGUAAUGGCCGUCAGCGCGGCAGACCUAUCAAACUCCGAAUACCGAAAGAUUAAGUUCGGCAGUUAGACUGUGGGGGCUAAGCUCCAUGGUCGCGAGGGGAAAAGCCCAGAUCGUCAUCUAAGGUCCCUAAAUAUCUGCUAAGUGUUAAAGGUAGUGGUUCACCAUAGACAGAUAGGAGGUUGGCUUAGAGGUAGCCAUCCUUUAAAGAGUGUGUAACAACUCACUAUUCGAUUGGUGGAUUGCGCCGAAAAUUUAUCGGGGCUAAGCAGAUUACCGAAGAUACGGGUCCCGCCUUUUGGCGGGGCGGUAGGAGAGCAUUCCCAGGGCAUUGAAGGUUGACCCGCGAGGGCAGCUGGAGCGCUGGGAAGAGAGAAUGUUGGCAUGAGUAACCGCAAAGCCGGUGAGAAACCGGCUCUCCGAAAAUCCAAGGUUUCCGUGGCAAUGGCAAUCAGCCACGGGUUAGGCGGUCCUAAGGCAAUGGGGAAACCCGCAGCCGAUGGACAGCUGGUUAAUAUUCCAGCCCUUCAUUAUCUUUCGAUGGGGUGACGGAGUGUAGUAAGUCAAGCGCCUUAGUGGUUUGGCGUCCUUGAUCUAAGGGUGUGCGUUUGGUAAAUCCGGCGUGCACAAGCCCAAGGGUUGAGGUAAGGUAGGGCUUUUGUUCUGCCAAGUUGACUAAGCAUGCUUCCAAGAAAAGCCUCUAAGAUUAGAGAUAGUGAAUCCGUACCGAAAACCGACACAGGUAGAUAGGGCGAGUAGCCCAAGGAGAACGAGUGAUUUCUCGCCAAGGAACUCGGCAAAAAAGCGGCCGUAACUUCGGGAUAAGGCCUGCCCUGCGCAAGCGGGGCCGCAGCUAAAGUACCUCUGGCGACUGUUUACCAAAAACACAGCUCCCUGCGAACUCGUAAGAGGAUGUAUAGGGGGUGACGCCUGACCGAUGCGAGAAGGUUAAGCCUGGGGGUCUAUGCAGCAAUGUGUAGGCUGACUGGGUGAAGCCCUCGUCAAUGUCGGCCUUAACUAUAAGGGUCCAAAGGUAGCGCAUUUCCUUUCCGGGUAAGUUCCGGAGCGCACGAAUGGCGUAACGACUGGAGGACUGUCUCGGCGAGAAGCUCGGUGAAAAUGCAAUCCCAGUGAAGAUGCUGGGUACCUGCAGCGGGACGAGAAGACCCCGGGAGCUUUACUGUAGCUUGGUAUUGGCUUUAGGGUUUAUUUGCGCAGCGUAGCGGGGAGGCUUUGAAACCUUACUUUCGUGUGAGGGGGAGCCGCCAAUGAGACACCCGUCUUGUAAACUUUAAAAUCUAACCUCAAGGGCAAAAACCAUGGGGAACAGUGCCUGGUGGGCAGUUUGAAUGGGGCGUUCUCCUCCUAAAGAGUAACGGAGGAGCUUAUUAAGGUCGGCUUAGCCCGGAUGGAAAUCGGGCUGGAUGUGUAAAGGCAUAAGCCGGCUUGACUGCAAGACCUACAAGUCGCGCAGGUGCGAAAGCAGAACUUAGCGACCCGACGACACUUUAUAGAACGGUCGGAGACAACGGAUAAAAGUUACCCCGGGGAUAACAGGCUGGUACCGCCCGAGAGUCCAUAUCGACGGCGGUGUUCGGCACCUCGAUGUCGGCUCACCCUAUCCUGGGGCUGAAGAAGGUCCCAAGGGUUUGGCUGUUCGCCAAUUAAAAGGGUACGCGAGCUGGGUUCAGACCGUCGUAAGACAGGUUGGUCUUUAUCUGCUGCAGGCGUUUGGUAUUUGAGGGAAGUCGACCCUAGUAAGAAAUUGCUACUUUACGGAGAAAUCUGUAAUGACAAUGUGGCUCAUAACGGUGAAGUCUUCAUUAGUUUUCUGGUUAGUACAGCGAGUAGCAUUCAGUCGGUCCACUGAAUGUGGUAAAAUUACUUGAGGACCAGAAAGUUUUUAAGAUAAUACCGUGGGAAGUCGAUCUAAGGCCGAUUUAGCUUAUAUUGCAGGUUUUCUUGACGGC